AUUUCACCUCCCCCGAUGCAAACGAUGGGACGCGCGAGACAGAAGAAGACGAGGCGUGUGUGUGACAGCGUUUCGUAUGCAGCAGCCAAAUCGAAGCAGGCGCAUCUUCCUUCGCACGCGCCCGCCCGAAGAGGAGGAGGAGGCACACGUAUUGGACGCACCGACGGUGCUCGUGUUUGCUGUUCAGCUCGGUGUGUGUGUGUGUGUGGUUGUUGUCAAGUGGACAACAACGCACCGGUCGCAGCCGCUCAUUGGCGAUUGCAUUUUUUGGCUGCUGCGUUUUCGGGCUCACAUCUCCCGCGCGCGUGAUUUAUGAAGCAAAGCGAAGAAGAUUCAGCACAGGAAGCCUUACACCCUGUCUGUCGGACGUGCGCACGCAUCAAACAGCUCUAUAGCCUUGGCAAGGCUAAGCGAUUGAUAAACCCUAACAAGCCGAACAAAAGGAACGAAAGGAGGAGACAGAAGAAGUAGAAGAAGUAGAAAAAAACAUCACAUAUUUGAUGAUCAUCUGGGCUGAGAGUGGUUGGUGAUUCGUGGAUCGUUUCGUGCAACACUCACGAUAGACGAUGGGUUCGUGGUAAUAAUCGGUCGAUCAUCGUGUCCCCGUGCGGGAGCUCCCUGUGUGGGGCACAAGCGAGGCAAAAGGAAGUGAUCGCGCGCGUGUGUGUGUGUAUGUGUGUUACAACAAUACGGCUCGUUUGUCUUUACUACCUACGAGACUACUACCUCGUUAGGGGCCGGUGGGGUUUGUGUAAUUUACCGCUUCGAAGCCGCGAAAGAGGUGUUGAUUGUGAGCGAGCCAUAAUGUUAACACUCCUCCCUGUAUUAGUAGUGCCCUUGAUCUUUGCAGUGGCAGUCAAAAGUGCGAGAAAUGGCAGUAAAUUAUGCCUGUGAUGAGGAUGCGCCAGGGACACUGAGAUUUUCGAGGAAAUAGAUGCAAUACACGUGCAAAAGAAACAUUGUUUUGAUGACGAAAAAGGCACAAAGAACUUCAACGGUGGUUAAAGUGACGAACCAGAUUGAACCUUCCCGCACUUUUUUGCGGCGCAAAGCAACUGAUUGCACACUAAGUUGAGUUCAAAACAAAAAAACCGGUCGUUGGAUUAUUGCAAUCUUAAUAUGCAUUAAAAGGCAGUAAAAAUCAUUCACACAUUUUGCGAAAGCACUAGAAAGGGAUUACAAAAGAGAGACAGAAAAAAAACUUGCGAGUCAAAUGGGGGGAGGGGGAAAACAUCAAGAAAGGAUUUAUGCAAAAUUAUCAUAUUCAUAAACCUAUCAUCACACGAGC